GGUAAAUUUGGGGUAAUUACGAGGAAGGGGUGGAGGAGAUCUUUAUAUAGUUGGUGUAAUUUAGGGAAAAGUGGAGUGUUUAUCUCUCAAUUAUCCCAACAACCCAAUAACACCACAAAGUUGACUCCAAUUCCAAUUACCCCAAUGAAUAACACCAAAAAGUGAUGUUCGAAAAAUUAUCGCAUUAUUCCCCAAAUUACACCAAUCAAUAACCCUCCCUAACUAGGGAAUGCAUUCUCAUUUCUCACGCCCUCUCAUCUUUAUAUUAACCACCUAACUUAAAGUAAAUUUACAUGUCCUACCACUUUUCGCGUUCGCCAAUCACGGAGCAGAGAACAUUAUAGUACCACUGCAACGAACGGCUAUUUUUUGGGUGAAGCUUCCUACAGAAGAAGAGAAGCUAUAAAUAGAUGAGUCGAGGAUCAGAAAUCGAGCGCUUUUCUAUUUAAAUUUCUCUCCUCUUUUCUCUCUUCUCAGAUCUAGGUUUCUCACAUUCGAAGAUGGCGAUCUGAGUUCCAGCCUCUGAUUCGAGUUCGAGAAUGUCGUAGGACGCCAAGAAUCUCAUCGGCGAUACUUGUGAAUCCUUUGCUUUCAUUUCUGAAAAAUAGGGCAUCCAGCAAACGUUCUAUUUGUUAAGCGGCACAGCCUGUUUCAUCCCAGGCUGAAGAGCCAAGGAUGGAUUUUCUCCUGAAGAGAUCUUUCUGAAGGACGACAAGUCAAUUUGAAAUUUACACUCAAUGAGGACAGAACAAUAGCCUAGUCAAAUAUUACCUUUUUCCCUGGAGUUGAAGGUGUUUCUUGUCCUCUUGGUGCUUAAUGGUCAUGAUCUUAAACUAUUAUCAGUUAAAGUUGAUGGUGAAGAACUUAAGCCUUGGCGACUUGUUUUGUUGAUAAUCUCAUAGUACUUUGUUUCGUUGAUGAUCUCGUCGUUACUUCUCCUGACCUGUAGUAGAUGGAUUCCUACAGUUAGCUUCCAUGCUGGUCCAAUCGUUCCAAUGAGCACAUUUGGAGGGUAUCGAUACUUAAGCAUAACUGUCUUUCUCCGAAGAUGUCCCUCUCCAUUCUCAUGACAUUUCAAAGCGUCUCAAGCUGCUAUUAAAGGGUAGUGCAUGUUUGUUAUGAGCGACAGUGACUGACGCCUCUUUCGAGACCUCCAAGAUUGUUCUUCCAAAGCUUGUAUUUCUUUUUGGUGAUUCUUCCAUAGGACAUGGCUCUACUGGGUACCCUGAUGAUCACAGGUGGUUGGUUCCACAGAUGAUUGCGCAUGCUAUCUUCCACCCAUCGACUGUCAUCGGCCAUGAUAUUUCAAGUUAGCUAUUGUACCCAGACAGAUGAGUUGGUAAUUAACAUUGCUUUAUGAGAGCAAUUCAGCAUCAAUUAGUGGUGACUCCACUUGUUGGGCUUCUACCUGGCAUAUUACGAAGUGGAUCCAGUAUUGAAGAAUCCUAAUGUCAUUCUCUUACUUUCUUCGUGCGCUUCUUUGAGAUCCAAGGUCAUUGUUUGACAACGGACUUGCGCAUGUUAGGUGGGUCAAUUCCAAUUCUCAACAAUAAUGGAUCGACUGACAACACAUAUCCUUGAUCACUUCGGAUAUCAGCUGAGGGACAGUAGUUUGUACCAAGCUAUUAGGGAUGCACAACUCGAACUGGAGCCUAGUAGAAUAAACUUGUUCGUAAUGUUGGAGCUAUUUAACCUCGAGACUGAUACCUUCUUUACUUUAGUUAGCUGGAGAAUUAAGCUUAGCCCUUAAAGAAAUAGGUGAGCUAUCUAGGCUUCCAAUGGGUUAAAAACCUUGAGGAGUACUUUUCCAGUGAAGCUGAGUUAGAACAACUCCGUAUUCAUCAAUCUCUCUUGCAUAAUAUCCUCCGGGAGUUGGUGUGCCAUUAUCAUAUGCAUAGAGUCGAGGGGAAGACGUGCGGGAAGAACAUCGGCUUGAUGAUACGGGUCACAUAUCCCAUCACCAAUCUAGAAGGCAAAGAGGACAUCAAGUAGGAGCCAUGAAAAGGUGGCUAGAUCUAAGGCUUUAUCACCAAUCCAGAAGUUGGCGUACCAUUAUCACCUAUGCAUAGAAUUAAGGGGAAGACGCAGGAAGAACAUCGACUUAAUGGUAUGGGUCACCUAUCUUGUUAGGCAAAGAGGACAUCAGAGUUCUUUCCCCUGCAGUCGCAAGAGCCACGAAAAGGUGGGUAGAUCCAAGGUUUUUAAAUUGCCGAGGCAUCGAGGGAAUUCUUGACAAAGACUAACUUCCUGAGCUUGCAAACAACGUCGUAAGCAUGUACAUUUUAAAAUCUGAAGUCUGGAGCUUUGACAGCAGCUUCAUCAAUAUUCCUCUCUUGCAGCUGUAACGUGUCAGCUACAUGAAACUUCUAGCGCGAGAUUUCCAGCGCGAUCGAGGUUGGAAUAUAUUCAGUACUAACUAGGGUGGAGUGUGUCGGGAAGAAGUGGAGGGUUGAGGUGGGGGUGGGGGCGGGAUCACAAAAUAUUCUUUGAUGAAUCCAAUCCCUAGACUACUUGUGGAUUGUAGCUAUAGAUCUGGAUACCACUGAGCGCAAAAUUUAUCUGCUUCAUAAAGCUAACAUUACACUGGAAGUUGACGAUUCAACCUGUUAUAACUCAGAAGUUAUCGGCCGUACUACCAAUAUUGCCUUCUUGUUAUAAUAUGAAGUUGUGAAAUUAUGUAAUAUUCGUAGUCAAACUACCAAGUAGUUGCUGUUAGGAUUGUUCUCCAACUGAUUGCAAAACAAUUAUGUAAUAUUUGUAGGCAAUCUACCAAUAAUUUACUCUGGAUGGUAUCUGGACAACUUUUUUCUGAGAAUCUGCACAUAAAGAAAUAUGCUAGGAGUUAUGAUUCUACUUGCAAAUGAAGCUUACUUAGUGUUUAA